ensembl:lncRNA
AGCUGUACGUGUUGUCAUGGCUACAGGGGCGUGUGAUCAGGGAGCAUGUUGUGUCGGAGAGCUAUCAUUAUUUGGCUGACCUGUAAACCACAGACUGGUUGUUGAGGGGCCAGCUCUCCGUGCAGUUUUGUUUUUGAGGAAAAUAAGCUAGAGAGAAAACGGUUGGACUCCACACUUAACUGCAGCACACUGGCCCCAAACACUGCACAGAGGGGCCCGGACACUGUGCAUCAUUUGGAUUAUUUGUUGGAAUGUCUAAGUAUGAUGUCAUAAGGCACUGAUCUGUUCAGACAGACUCAGCCGCUGGUGUCAGGAACUUGUGGUGUUUACCUCACUGCCAUGACUCAAGGUGUGCAGUGAUGGCCCCUAAUUAACUUGUGUUUGAGAUACACAAUGUUCUCUCCAGACAUGACCUAGAUCCUCGAGAGCACAACAAGUAAAGAACAGCGGGUGGAGGAGGAAAAGUGAUAGAGAUAAAUACAAGCCAACAGGACAAUGUCAGACUCAUAUGCUUUCUCCAGAGAGCCCCUUUCAUUCUCCUCUCCUCUCCCGGCUGGACGCGACCCUCUCUUCCUUCAUUGGUUGUCUAUCUCGUGGGAGGGGAAUCAAUUAUUUUUUUUUAAUAAGAGUUCCAAUUAGUCCUGAGCACACUGUGCUAAAUAUAAGUCUUAUUGUCAUGAUCUAAUAAGCAGAAGGCCGGAGUUUGACCCCUGUCAGAUGAGCGCUGGGUGUUACGUUAAGGCCCUCAUAUAGCUCUUGAACACAGUUCAGUACAAUUCAUUACAGUGUUCCAGUGUAACUAGACAAACCCACCGCACGUCAACACGAGGCCCGUCAACCCGAGGCUCGUCAACCCCACUGGCACAGGGAAAGACAUGCUUUUUACCUUGUCAAGUGGGAUUAUGAAAGUUUGUGUGAAAUUUGUGUGUAAAGCGAGUGACAGUGGAUGACUUGUAUGCUAUGCACAAUUAAAAAUUGACACACUUCACCUUAAGCAACAUCAG